rnacentral:lncRNA from 1 species
GUUUGUCCUCUCUCAUACACUCUCUUUCCUUUCCCAUCCUUUAUUUAUCAUCCCCUUCUCCCCAUCCUCACACAAAAAUUUCCCAUUUCUCUUCCUCUCUUUUACCCUCUGAAAACCUUAUUUAAAGCAGUGGAAUUAGAAGGAAAAGAAGGAGAUAAUGAUGAGAAGCUCUAUCUUUUGAGGGGAAUGUUGUCUGGCUCGAGGCCAUUAACAAGAUCUGGCCAUUUCAAAAGGGGGUUUCUCAAUUGAUCAAUCUUGAUCCUUGAAUUUAAUGUGAGAUCUAGUCGUGGAUAGUAUGUUAGUGUCGUCGGACCAGGCUUCAUUCCCCUCAAUUCAUGCUUUCUCCCUAUCAAGAUCCUCAUCUUUCAUAAGGUUGGUUAAUAGGAAUUCUGAUCUGACUCAUUAAUUUGAUUUAUCGAUUAAACAUGGGGUUUUCAUUUUUGCAUAGGGAUGUGGAUUUUUGGUGGUUCAGGUAAAUUAAAGUAAUUAGCCAUGAUUGCUGCAAUGAUUAAAAUCUUUUGCUUUUCCUUCUGCAAAAAGAAAUGAUACAUGGCAGGAUCAUUAGAUUCAUUCAUCAUCAUAACUCAUGUAUUUUUAUAUGCAGAUACUAUAGUGUGGAUUUGUUUUGAUCUUUACUUUUUCAGUCUGAGUCUAUCAUUUAUGCUGAUUUUCUCAUGAUGAUUCAAAGAAUCUGCCCGUCUGUUUCUGCAGAACUUACUCAUCUACACGCCCUUUAGCUUUUUGAAUUUUCUAAUGUCAUCAUUACCAUUUUUCCUGGUUUUUUUAUUAGGGUUUUAUAAUUUUAAUUUCAGUACUUGAACAAGUGUGCUUCGUGCAUUUUUCUUUUUGUCCCCUUUUUUUAAUCUCCACUGCAAAUGAAGUGAAUGACCAAAUCAAACUUAGAUUUACUUCCCAGAUUGCUUGAUAGCUAGUUGGUUUCUGAUAAUGCGAGAAACAUUACACCACAAAGCAAAAGAAUGAAUCAUAUCUUAUAUAUAUAUAUAUUCUCUUACACUGAUAAAGCAAAAAAAGAUAAAAGAUGGGAAAAAGUAUUGACAUGAAAAUGAAUAUUGAAAGUCAUGUGGAUAAGAGUGGGAAUUAAUGGUAUGUCGGGCUGAUGCUGAUGUAUCCCAGGUGACAAUGAAUUCUAAAUGCACCCAUAUUUCAUUAAGAAAUUGUGUCUGGUUUGGAUUAACGUUGCAUCUAGUUUCAAGUUUCUUAAACGUGUACACAGUUUCCCUUGGACAUAAUGCAUACCUCUUGGUAAAUAAAUGUAUAAGAAAAUAAAUAUUUUUCUCAGGUUUUGUGGAAAUUUCUUCAAUCAAAAGGUAGCUAGCUUAUAUCAACAAUUUGACACGAGUAGCCCUUCCUAUUCACGCCUUCUCAAAAUAUAUAUAGUUGAUUCAAUUCAAAUUUCUAGAUAUCACUUUUAGUAAGGAAAAAAAAACCUAAUAUCGUAAAAUUGAGCAUGUGAGGACAACACGAUGGUUGGAUUGUUAGGAUCGAUUGUACAAUAAAAAUAAAAUGUUAGAAUCGAUUUGCUCGUUUCAAAGGGUAGAUAGACGACGUAUUGACAAGCGAAAGUGCAAUUACCCUUUCCAAAAUCAUAAAUUGGAAAAAUGAAUAUGAAUACACACACACACACACACCUUGUUCCAAGGAGAAAAACUAGUACUAUGUUGUCGUCUGAAGUUGUGCAGUGUUUUCACUUUUACUCCCAGAUUUUCCUUGUAUUACAGUUGUUACAUCUUUGAGUAUUGUACCAUAUAAAGGGACAAAGAGGGAGGUCAGAAAAUAAUAGGGUAAAACUAUUCUUUCCCAUCCUCGUGUUUUAGAAGUUAGAACAAGAUUUGAUUAGGUUUCUACUAUUAUAAUUAUGUCUUGUUAGAGUGUUGGCGAUGAAAAGGAUUCGUAUAAAGUAUUCUAAAACUUGAAAAAAGACAUUUAUUUGUUAAUUGUUAUCUCUGGGGUUGGUGCUGUGUGUGUUGGGUAUGAAAAUUGUCAAAAAGGAAGGCACGACUUGAAAGUUGGGCCGAGUCUGACUCGUUUAGGUUAUAUGGUCACUAGUAACAUUUAUCGGUGAAAUGGACUGUCGUCAGUGGCAGAGCUAGUGCCCGGAGAGGUGGGCUGCCGAUCGCGCGGACUCUGUCGGAGUUGAAUUUUCAAUGGAGCCAGAGUGGAAGAAGGUAGAAAGUUGGGC